rnacentral:lncRNA from 1 species
CAUGAAGCUGGCAGAUGAUGUGGACCUGGAACAGUAGCCAAUGAGACUCACGGGCAUGUGGGUGCUGACUUAGCAGCCCUGUGCUCAGAGGCUGCUCUGCAAGCCAUCCGCAAGAAGAUGGAUCUCAUUGACCUAGAGGAUGAGACCAUUGAUGCCGAGGUCAUGAACUCUCUAGCAGUUACUAUGGAUGACUUCCGUGGGCCUUGAGCCAGAGUAACCCAUCAGCACUGCGGGAAACCGUGGUAGAGGUGCCACAGGUAACCUGGGAAGACAUCGGGGGCCUAGAGG